rnacentral:rRNA from 1 species
UUUAUUGGAGAGUUUGAUCCUGGCUCAGGAUGAACGCUGGCGGCGUGCCUAAUACAUGCAAGUUGAGCGAAUGGAUUAAGAGCUUGCUCUUAUGAAGUUAGCGGCGGACGGGUGAGUAACACGUGGGUAACCUGCCCAUAAGACUGGGAUAACUCCGGGAAACCGGGGCUAAUACCGGAUAACAUUUUGAACCGCAUGG